GGAAACAACCAUCUCACAUUGAAUGCACCGGUUCUCAUCCGGUCAUUGAAAUUAAGCAACAUCAAGCCUAGUUAGUACUUAGACGGGCGACUGCUUGGGAAACCUAGGUGCUGUAAGCA
rnacentral:rRNA from 1 species